GACGAACGCUGGCGGCGUGCUUAACACAUGCAAGUCGAACGGAAAGGCCCUGCUUUUGUGGGGUGCUCGAGUGGCGAACGGGUGAGUAACACGUGAGUAACCUGCCCUUGACUUUGGGAUAACUUCAGGAAACUGGGGCUAAUACCGGAUAGGAGCUCCUGCUGCAUGGUGGGGGUUGGAAAGUUUCGGCGGUUGGGGAUGGACUCGCGGCUUAUCAGCUUGUUGGUGGGGUAGUGGCUUACCAAGGCUUUGACGGGUAGCCGGCCUGAGAGGGUGACCGGCCACAUUGGGACUGAGAUACGGCCCAGACUCCUACGGGAGGCAGCAGUGGGGAAUAUUGCACAAUGGGCGGAAGCCUGAUGCAGCAACGCCGCGUGCGGGAUGACGGCCUUCGGGUUGUAAACCGCUUUCGCCUGUGACGAAGCGUGAGUGACGGUACUGGGUAAAGAAGCACCGGCUAACUACGUGCCAGCAGCCGCGGUGAUACGUAGGGUGCGAGCGUUGUCCGGAUUUAUUGGGCGUAAAGGGCUCGUAGGUGGUUGAUCGCGUCGGAAGUGUAAUCUUGGGGCUUAACCCUGAGCGUGCUUUCGAUACGGGUUGACUUGAGGAAGGUAGGGGAGAAUGGAAUUCCUGGUGGAGCGGUGGAAUGCGCAGAUAUCAGGAGGAACACCAGUGGCGAAGGCGGUUCUCUGGGCCUUUCCUGACGCUGAGGAGCGAAAGCGUGGGGAGCGAACAGGCUUAGAUACCCUGGUAGUCCACGCUGUAAACGGUGGGUACUAGGUGUGGGGUCCAUUCCACGGGUUCCGUGCCGUAGCUAACGCUUUAAGUACCCCGCCUGGGGAGUACGGCCGCAAGGCUAAAACUCAAAGGAAUUGACGGGGCCCCGCACAAGCGGCGGAGCAUGCGGAUUAAUUCGAUGCAACGCGUAGAACCUUACCUGGGUUUGACAUGGAUCGGGAGUGCUCAGAGAUGGGUGUGCCUCUUUUGGGGUCGGUUCACAGGUGGUGCAUGGCUGUCGUCAGCUCGUGUCGUGAGAUGUUGGGUUAAGUCCCGCAACGAGCGCAACCCUUGUUCACUGUUGCCAGCACGUUAUGGUGGGGACUCAGUGGAGACCGCCGGGGUCAACUCGGGGGAAGGUGGGGAUGACGUCAAGUCAUCAUGCCCCUUAUGUCCAGGGCUUCACGCAUGCUACAAUGGCUGGUACAGAGAGUGGCGAGCCUGUGAGGGUGAGCGAAUCUCGGAAAGCCGGUCUCAGUUCGGAUUGGGGUCUGCAACUCGACCUCAUGAAGUCGGAGUCGCUAGUAAUCGCAGAUCAGCAACGCUGCGGUGAAUACGUUCCCGGG
rnacentral:rRNA from 1 species